GGGACGUUAGCUCAGUUGGUAGAGCAGCUGACUCUUAAUCAGUAGGUCGUAGGUUCGAUCCCUACACGUCCCACCA
rnacentral:tRNA from 2 species